rnacentral:lncRNA from 1 species
UCCCGUCAACAGGUCGAGACUAGAGUUUCGUUCGUUUUAUGCCGGACCCAAGAAGGCUUCCACGGAAGUGAAACCAAUAGUUUUCAUCGAGACCUGGGUCAACCCUUUAAUCGUCAAAUAUUGAGUCUGGCAAAUCACCGAUUUGAGGAGAAGAUCGUUAGAGUAUGGCAGACUGGCCGGUGAUUUCUCCCUAAAAUCAUCUAUUUCACCCCAACUUGUCGAUUUCAGAGCGUUACUCGCGUCCAGCCUGUACGUCAUAUAUAAUGGUUGUCAUUAUGACUCAGGCGCGAUCUCCGCCGUGAAUGGCACCUCCUGAUGAGGCCCUAUAUAAAAAGAGACCUCCGGAGCUCAUUUAUGACAUCAGUUCCAUCCUUUCUACGUACAACGUGAAAUACGGAGCAAUCGCUGAUUUGUACCCAAAUCGCUGAUUUCCUCUCCUGAAGAUUUGACGUACGUAGAGCGCGCGUCGUGGAUCGACCCAGAAUCUCCGGCACGAGAAGGUGACCGCUUGCACCAUCGCGAACGCUAGUAGGAUAUUUCGUUUCUCAUCAGUAUCACGCAUAUAUAUAGACAUACUUAAGGGUACAAUUUGUAUUAAAAAUGGAGGUAGACAUUUUUUAAUUCAUGAUGUUCUUCUAGUCCAGAGUUAAAGUAAAACUUUCUUUCAAUUGACAAAAGAUUUGAAUUGAACAUUAUAUUCACUUAUGAUAAUUUUGUGGUGAUGGCAGGGAUGGAUCCAGUAAAGUGUCAUCUCAGGCCAUGGACUGAGGUCCAAUAUUGGAAAUCCUUAUUAAAUUUUUUUAAAGAAACUUUCAGGGCAUAACAAAUAUUUUAGUGUUAUAUAUGGACUGGGGUCAUGUGGAUUAUAAAUUUUAUUAUUUUGGUCUUUAUUUUGAGUUUGACUUUUAUAUAUCUUAAGAUUCAUUUACAAUUUAGCAUUCAAUUUGGCAUUGGGUCGUUUCAAAUCCUGGAUCCGCCAUUUCAAUAUCCAGGAGAAACUAGUUACUAAUUAAGGCAACAGGGAAUUAAACAAAUGUUCUCAUGUGCUUAGAGAUCGAGGAAGCGCUACAUGUCUAUAUAUAUAUAGUUGAAACAGGGAAAUGCAUCUUCACACAGUCUGAGGUUCCUUACAGUUAUUGGCCUAAGAUUUUCUCUUUUGUGGUUUAUUUACCAAACAAUCUGUCAUUUUAAAAGAGUCUCGAUCCCACACCUUUGAGCGUCAAGACCAACUCAUAUUGGGUUGGUUGCUCGACUUUAAUUAAUAUCUAUUGAGAUGCUUCUACAUGUGACAAUUCUUAACCUUCUCUACCGAAGUAUGGUCUUCUUUCAAACGCCUUUAUGUUUCCUCGUCUACAACUUGCAUUAUGUAUAUACGUCGAGAUUUUCGUAAUCUUCAGAAGGAAAAUAUGUCGAUGGAAGAUAAUUACCUUGGUAAAGUUACCUUUUCAACCAGUAUUGUUGACUAGAAAAUUGAAUCCAAGAAUGUUGUAACAAAUCGAAACUUGUUCAACUAUUGAAAGAAGAUUUAACGAUUGAAGACUUCGGUUUCAAUUCCGCUCAUCGGAGAAAAACUCGAUUGCUGUCAACUAGGUCGAGCCCAUUGAUUUUUCAAAGGGGCGAAAAUAGCCUAAGCCUAACUCUAUAGCAAAAAUACGAGUAACCAAUCCUUCAGCCAUCAUAAAUAUCCUACAAUGAAUAUCGUUUUAAGAAAAUGGAUAUGAUAAUUUAUCAAUAACAAUCUAGGUACAAAUAGACUUGAUGGUCCGUCUUGCCUUAGAUCCAAGAUCAGUUGAUCAGGCAUUUCCAAGGCUCGCGCAGCGGGUAUAAAUCCCUGAAAUCAAGUCUUAGCUCUCAUAGAUUACUUUUGUUAAGCCAAUCUGAUGGAGUGCUUGAUGCGGCAAUGUUGGAUGACUUCAAUUUUUUUAAUUCCUUUGCUGGAAUAAUGAUUUCUCGCCGUGAGUUCAAGGAUCUGCAAAAGCACCAAAUGAUGCAGCAAGAGGGGAUCGAUUGGUAAGUUGAUCCAUUAUGUCGGAAUUAUGAAAACUUGGUCAGAAUCCGUCCUUGAGGAAGCCACAUGCAACUUUCUUAGAAAUUUUGAUUGAAUUAUAAUAGUUUGACACAAGCCCUAAGCAUAACCAACUUAUUUAAAUUAAGCUCAUUAACAAUCAACCUAGUCCAACUCAUAAUCUUUCAACUACGUUGGCCGGAUUCUAAUAUUUUUGCAGACAAUCAAAUCGACGUACACCAGUUGUGCUGGUUGUUGACUCCUCUUGAAUCCACGAUCGUCCUCCUCCAAGCUAACAAUCGAGUCUAAGACUAGUUGAUCGAGAUACCACCUCAUCAUAUCAUAUAUAUGAUGGUAGUUUGAUAACUCUCUAGAAAAUCAAGCAUUGCCAUUUUCUUUCAUUAAAUGAUUAUUUAUUUAAUGAAAUGAACAAGUCUCAACCUGUGGCCACCGUCAUUUGGCGCAAAAUGAUGAGUGGCGUCUGAAUCUGGGUACCAUGCAUAUUCAAUUGGCUCACUCAUAUCAUUAUACCCUUCAGUAGGUGCAUAUCUAGGCUCAGGAACAUAACGAGCCUCACAUGCAGUAGUGACAUUUACCAUGAGAUCCCUUGGAAAAUUAAUUUUAUUUGGAUUUACACUUGGAUUGGGUUGGGCCUGGACCCUAUGGUGACAUUUAUAUGGGCUAUGCCCAUGAAUUCCACACACUGAGCAAGGGUCGCGUCUGGUUUGGAGCAGACGUCGUCCACCAAACCUUCCUCUACCGCGGAACAUCGUUCUGCCAUAUCCGCGAUUUCCGCCCCGCCGAAGUUUCGAUUUCCGUCGGCGUCAAAUUGAGGAGUCGCCUCGGUAUGAUUAGCAAUGACGACGGCGGGAACUCUCAUCUUCAAUUUAAUUUCGUGACUGCCAAGAACUUCCACUAGUUCGUCGAAUGUUACUAGAUUCUUCUUCACAGACAAAGCGGUGACAAUCUCGUCAUAGUCACCAGAGAGAUUGGUGAAGAUUGUCGCACUGAAGAUGCGCCUUGGAAUUGCAGAUCGAGCCGGUCACUGCGAGUUCGUCGGAGAGUAACUUGGCCUGCCGGAGGAAGGUUGCGAUCGAUGGGUGUGCUGUCCUCCUUUUUUAGUGUUUGGAACUGCAUCUGCAGUUGUAUGAUUCUGGAUUCGGAAGAACUCCCAUAGGCAGUGGCGCGUGCCUUCCAAAUCUCACUUGCAGAUUUUACUGAAAUCACCAAUGACAGAAUUUUCCCUGACAGUGAAGAGAUGAUCCAACUCAAGAGGAGAUGGUCCUUCCUCCACCACAAUAGGUGGUCUUCGGUGGUUUCCGCAGGAGGAGCGUCGUCGCUGAUGAAGCUUUGGAGGUUGAAGCAAUUGAGGAGUGGAGUGAAGUGCAUUUUCCACACAAUGUAAUUUGUGGUUGUGAGUAUCACUUGGAGGAAAGAUUGGAUUGAUCCAAAUGAUGGCAUGGAUUUGAAGAAAUCCAGAGCGGCAGACGAUCGAAGAUGCCCUUGGCAUGCUCUGAUACCAUUUGGGAUUGUUGGAUUGACUAAACUUUGGAAGAAGAUGAGAGAGAGGCCAUGAAGAUGGUGAAGAGUAUAAACACAAUGAGAGUGGUUUUGGCUAUGAUCGAUUGAUGAUCAUGCCUCUUCUCUAACACUAUUUAUAUACAAUUAAAAGGAAUAAUAAGUGGGUUGGUAAUUACAAUAUUAUACCUCUAACUACUAACAACUAAUAGAAUCACAUCAGGGAUAUUGUUAACUAAUUUGAUUCCCUUCUAGAAUGUUCUAGAAGGCCGGGUUAGUUAUAAUCCAAUAGGUAGUUGGAUAAUUCUCUAGAAAAUCAAGCAUUAAAUGAAAUGAAAGUCAGAAACUGUGGACAUUAAAUGAAAUGAACAAGUCAGAAAUCAAGCAUGAUUUCUUUUGUUAAAUGAACAAGUCUCAAACUGUGGCCAAUUGGCAUCUAUUUUCCAUAUUUUUAAGAUAUCAUUAUAAAACAUUGGCAUCACCAAUCCAUUUAGUGCUGAUAUCAUAAUGGCUGAUCGAAAUAAUCUAUUUAAUACGAAAUAACUGGGGUUUGGCCAAAUUAAUUUUAAAUGAUUCACCCGACUAAUUUUGAAGAUAAUAAUAACUAAUGAAGAAUGGAUGUUAAAAUAUUUAAAUAUCGUUGUUAGUUAUUAAUAGUUGUUGAAAAUGCAAUUAAAAAUUCAGGUGUUUUGAUGUCUUGUGAUACGUCAAAUUAAUCUUGUUCAUUAGAUCGAUUUUACGUCGUACAUGUGUUAAUGUCUUGUGAAAUAUAUUAUUUUAGUUAUUGAAUUAAAUAUUAAUAGACACGAUUUAAAUUAAAUAUUACGACGCACCUGAGACGCAUCUAAUAACAGUUAACAAAUAAUUACAACUACGAAAAAUUGCGUUUGAAAUUUCUUUGCAAUUUUUUAAUUGGAAGAAUAUUCAAUUUUAGCUGCAACGUAACGAAUUUAUGACCAGCUUUGAUUUAAAUUUCAUUUGACUGAAGAAAAUUUUGACUUUUGAUAUUUUAAUUUUGGUCAAACACCCAAAUGAUUAUGCUGUAAAAAUAAAUUAAACAUGUGUUGAUUUUAAUCUCAAUUCUCAUCGGUCAUCUUUGACCAAACUCUGCCAUUUUUGACUUUGAGUUUCAAGCUUUUCAUCCUUUCUAUAAAAACCAGUCGUCUUCCCCAAAAUCUCUCAGAAUCUCCAAUUAAACAUUCCUCCUGCAAAUCAAAUCGAUCUUAUAAUCAAAGACGACAUGGAAGAAGUAGAUGUUCCAAGUUAUUUCACGUGUCCAAUCUCCCUCCAAAUCAUGCGAGAUCCCGUGAUUCUAUCCAGUGGGAUCACCUACGAACGAGACGCCAUCGAAAGAUGGCUGUUCUCAAACAACAACCGAACUUGUCCUCUCACAAAACAACCCAUUGGAAUUGAAGACAUCGAGCCUACACCCAACCACAUGCUCCGCCGUCAUAUCCAAUCAUGGUGCGCCGCCAACACAUCUAGAGGCGUCGAAAGGUUCCCUACGCCAAGGGAGCCUGUUUACAGUACGCAAGCCAUCAUUAAGAUCCUUGAUUCCACCAAAAACCCACGAACUCUGGUCUCUUCUCUACGCAAGCUUCGUGAGAUGGUCACUUACAGCGACAGAAGCAAGCUUUGUGCAGAGAAUGUCGGAGUACCCACUGUGCUCGUUUCCAUCAUUGAUCGGAGCAUCGGAAGAGGGUAUGAUGAUGAGGAGGAGGAAGAAUCUGUUUCUGCAUGUGAUGAAGCACUCAAUAUUCUCAACUCCCUCCAAUUAUCCCAAGAGAGUUUCCAUAAUCUCUACAUCGGCAACCCAAAUCUCAUCCAUCUUCUCGUCAAGGUUUUGGAACAAUCCUCGAGUUAUCAAUGUCGUGUUUACGCGAUAUUCUUGUUGAAGUCGAUCUUCAUGUCGAUCAGCCCGUUGUACAUGCCGGCGGUGGAAGACAAGCUGUAUAUCGAGAUCGUCAGAGUUCUACGCGACGGAAUGUCGACGACGGUGACGAAGGCGGCGUUAAGGGUUCUCUGGGAACUUUGUCCUUGGGGAAGGAACAGCAUCAAGGCAACGAAGGCCGGUGCAGUUGGGGUACUGGUCGACCUUCUUCUCGACACUGGGGAAACGAAAAUCUGCGAAAUGAUCGUGAUUGUUUUGGACAAGCUUUGCCGAUGUGCGGAGGGAAGGGAGGAGAUUAUAAGACAUGGAUGCGGAAUCGCAAUCUUGUCGAAGAAGAUACUUAGGGUUUCCAAUUUAACGAGUGAGAAAUGUGUGAAGAUUUUGCAGUCGUUGGUGAAGUAUUCGCCGGCACCGGAAUUGUUGAAGGAGAUUGCUCAGCUCGGAGUUAUCGACAAGCUGUGCUUGGUACUACAAAUGAAUUGUGAGACCAAGACUAAAAAAAUAGCCAAAGAGAUCCUACGAUUGCAUUCCAAGACGUGGAAGAAUUCAACAUGCAUUCAUCCAAAAUUCCUCUCUUCCUAUCCUAUUUAAUUUUAUUUUAUUCACUACUAUUAUCUAAAAAUUUAGCUAGGGUUUUCAAUUUUUUUAGGAUUAGUGAAAAAUUAGGGUUCAUUUCAUAUGGUCGAAAACACGAUCACUAUUUGAAAAUAAUGGAGCAAUUAAUCAAUGGAACUGUAAUUUACAGCUCAAAAUGUCGUGAACAGUAAAAAAGAAUGAAAUCCAACGUUUUCCGACUCAGUAAAAAGAGAUCUAUUGGAAUCCACCAUUAGUUCUACUAGAAUCCGGCCACUGGUAGAAUAAAGUAAUCAGAUAGGAAAUCCACCUAAUCCGAUGAAGAAAAUGAGAAAAAAUCGCAAGAUCGAUGCUUAGAGGAAAAAGUAAUGUGAUUCACCGACCUUUGGAAAAAUAUUGUUUAUCUCCCUUUUUGAGUCCACUCCUAUUUAUACUCCCAAUGUAUAAGAGUGGAAAUUCUACAUUGGGAGUCGGUCAGCACUUAAUUAAUACGUGCUAUAUUUGGAUCGAUCUGGAUAAAUAAAUUCUUUCCUCUGUUUGUCUCUUGUUUUAAAAUUCAGUGGUUCCUCAUCAGUGCAGAGUUGGUAAUAUACAUUUAUCUAGAGGAUGAUAAUUUUUACUUGAAUUGGCUCCUGGAGAAAAAUAACUGUAUUUUUGUUAUUGCUUUUCUAAGUAUUCUGUCAUGUUUAUUGCCUUCAUUAGCGAAUUUGGGGGACUGCAGAAUCACUUUCUCUUGAAUGCUGGAUUUUAGUCCACCAAUAAACCUUGUCAUUAAUUGAUCUUCUAUUUCAGAAGUGUUGUUUCUUGCUGCCAAUCUAUGGAGUUCCUCAGUAUAUAUAGUCCUCUACUGACCUUUGCCUUUGUUUACACUGUUGGCACUUAGUAUAUAGGAUAUACUCAUGGUAAUCAGCAGGUAAGAACCUUUCCCUAAGUAAUUGUUUUAUUUUACUCCGGUCCAAGUCUUAACUGAUUUUUUCUGAAAUCUAGCGCUCUCUUUAAGGUGGUUUGAUCCCACCACGUUGAUGCACCCCGGCCCUUUUAAUCUCAAAGCUACCAAUUUUACUUUCUUUAACUCUUUAAUGUUCAUAUAGUCAAAGAAUCGCUCCACCUCAGAAAUCCAAUCAAUGAAACCUUCUACAUGAAUUUGACCAUUGAAUGAUGGUAGAUCCAUCUUCAAUUUGUAUCCCUUCUCUUCUCUUUCAUAGCGAUUAUUUCCCUGUCUUUCAUAUUCAUCUAGUGCAUUUCUGCCUCUGUAUCUUUGACCCAUCUGAUCCAUAUCUGUUCCUCGAUGGUGGUACUAUAGCGACGGCGGCAACAGGUCAGUAUCAGCUUCCGACGAUGAGCUUCCUUCAGUCGGCGGUCUUCCUCCCAUGCAUCUCUCCCUUGGACGCGCUUCUGGAUAGUUGAAUAUGGGAUUGCUCGGCAUAGUCUUUCUCUGCUCAAUUCUGUUGAAACCUCUCACAAAUAAGGUUAGAUCGGUCACUGUUUUUACUAGUUUGUCGAUCUCUUCCCUUUUCAUUAAUUGCGUUUCCCAUCAGUCAUUGCUCACUAACCACCGAUCUCCCUGAAUCUGAUACCACUUAAUGGAGCAAUUAAUCAAUGGAACUGUAAUUUACCUCAAAAUGUCGUGAACAGUAAAAAAUAUGAAAUCCAUCACUUCAGACUCAGCAAGAAGAGAUCUAUUGAAGUCCACCAAUAGUUCAACUAGAAUCCACUAGUAGAAUAAGGAAAUCAGAUAGGAAAUCCACCUAAUCCGGUGAAGAAAAUGAGAAAGAAUCGCAAGAUGCUUAGAGAAAAGUAGGAGAGAAAAAAAGUAAUGUAAUUCACCUUUGGAAAAAUAUUGUUUAUCUCCCUCUUUGAGUCCACUCUUAUUUAUAAUCCCAAUGUAUAAGAGUGGAAGUUCCACAUUGGGAGUUGGUCAGUCCAAUUAAAAGAUCUGAGCCAUGGCUCGAGCCAAUGACCUUGUAGAGUUGUAGAUCAUUGUAAUGGGCUACAUCAGAAAAGCUAGCUAGCGUAUGAAAAUCUCGAUCCUAAUCAUUCAUUUAUUUUCAAUUUUAACCUAAAUAUAUAGGUCAAGGAAGAUUAUUUAAGAUUGUUGUUAAAAAAUUAUUAUCCAAAAUUAAAUUAAAUAGCUCUGCUAAUUAAUGAAGAAUUUAGUUUUAUAUUUUUCAAUGGGCAAUUUUUAGUGCCUAAUUCGAUUAACAUUAAUUGACAAAUUCAAAAGUGAGAAUUCCACACCCUUGGAGGCUACUACUAUGGAAUAUUAUUGAGUGUUUGUCGUGACAUAUAUUGAUGAAAAGAAAUAAAAGAUACAGACAACACAUUAGUAGACAUUCUGAAAUAGUAUGUUAUUAAAAACAUCAGUUUCUAAUUUGAUCCAGAGUGUUAUAAGAAACUGUUGUCACCUUUUGAAGACAUAUCAAUGAUGAAAGUAUGAGAGAUCAACCUUCUAAGACAGCAUAUCAAGUUAUUAUACAAUUAGACUACAUAGAUAAUAGAAAAGAGUCAUAAUUAAAUAAAAGUCACCAAAACUAUUUUAUCCACUUAUCUUUUUUUCAACUUCAACAUCAAUUUGCCUUUUGUUUAUAUAAUCAAAGAGUGGUGCCGGUUCAACAACAUCAAGUUGAUCAAGACCACGUCAGAAAACUGUCUAAAAAACCAUAUCACCGAGAAGAUCAAGAUUCCAAGAAAAGUGAUGGUGUGUGAGCUCACAAGGGGUGCUCACACAUGCAACUCCUAGAAUUCGUUCUCUCAACUGUCAACCCCCUCCCCUGUUGGACCAGGAGAGAUACUUAUAGUGUUAGCUCAGGAGGCCCACAGGCUUCCUAAGCUUUCCCAAGUCCAGUCCUUUCAGGCGGCUGGGCCCGGAAACGGACGGUUCGGUCCACGGACCAGAAGCUAGGCAAGAAAAUCAUUUCUGAAAUGACUUAACCAGAGCUUGAGCUUGGAACCAAAUUAUUUAGAUUUAAACAUGAAUCAUCAAGAUUAACAAGUUGUAUUUUAAUGUCAACUGAUCAGAUAGCAUAUGAGCUCAGAUAUAUAUAUAGAGGAAAGGUAGAAGCAGAAAAAAUACUCCAAAGAAUUAAUGAUCAAAUUAAAUAGGAAUUGAGAAAUAUAUAUUCAUCAAACUAUCGAUUUUCAGAAAAUUAUAUACACAAGCAGUUUUACCAACAGACAACAGUAGUUUAUAUGACAAAAACAUACAAAGAUACAUAUAUAUACAGAGAUAUGAGGAAUGGUGAGAAAGAUUUGUACUUGACAUUACCUACCUCAAUUUUUGUUCGAGAGGCCAUGUCGAAAGAGAAGGGGAGUCCGCUGCUAAUGAAGUUGUGGGAGGUGUUUGAUUACUAGUUAUUUGCGAGCCAAAUGUUGUAAUGGAAGCAGUACUAGGGACUGUGCUCAAAUCAUCGAAUUGCCAAUCUCUCAUGUAUGACGGUCUCUCUGGGAGUGUAUCAAUUUUCAUGUCGCCGAUGAGUAUUGCAAUGACACGUGACAUAGAUGGACGCAAUGUGGGGUUCACUUGUGUGCAGAUGAAUGCUACAUUCAUCAUUCUCAUAGCUUCAUCUCGGUUCACAUCUUCAAACUCUAACUUGGGAUCCAAAAUAUCCAGAUCAUUAUCCUUCUCAUGUAGACUCCACGCCCAAUCCAGAACAAACUUCUUCUCCAUGCCAUAACUUUCAUCACUGCAUGAUCUUCCACUAAGAAUCUCAAAAACAACUACUCCGAAACUGAAAACAUCAACCUUUUCUGUUAGAUGCCCUCUCAUGGCGUACUCAGGUGCUAAAUAUCCACGUGUGCCGGCAACCCUUGUACUUAUGUGUGUCAUCUUCUCAUCGUACAACUUAGCAAGCCCAAAAUCUGAUAUUUUGGGAGUCAGAUCUUUAUCGAGUAGGAUGUUGCUGGAUUUGACGUCUCUAUGAAUUAUACGAAGUCUAGAUUCUUCAUGAAGAUAGGCUAGACCUCUUGCUGUUCCCAAGCAUAUCGCAAACCGUGUAUUCCAGUCAAGCUUUAGCUGACCACUCUUUCCUGCGAUAUAAAUAGAUAUUGGUCAAGCAGAUCGAGCAGCUUUGAUAUCGUGAUUCAUUCAGAUUUAAUCUCUCUUACAUCUAUUUUUCUUCUUACCAUAUAGUGCUUUAUCUAGACUUCCAUUUUUCAUAUAUUCAUAGACGAGUAAUCUUUUGUUUCCUUCGUAACAACAACCAUGCAAUGUCACAAGAUUUCGGUGCUUAACUCCAGAUAUUGUAGCCACCUCUGCAACAAAUUGUUGCUUUCCUUGUGGUGUUUCGCCAACCAACUUUUUAAUAGCCACUGAACUUCCAUCAUUCAUUUCCCCCUGAAAAAUGAAAACCACCCCUAUCAAUUUUAACUAAUACAUUCGUCGAUAGAAGAAAAAAAUUAAUUCAACAAGAGUACCUUAUAAACAACACCAAAUCCACCCUCGCCAACUUUACUGUCUAGUUUGAAAUUGUUAGUUGCAUUCUUCAAUUGCACAAAACUAUAUGUGACUGUAGAUAUUCCCUCCAAAUCUGAAUUUUUUGAUGGGAAAUAAAUUAUCGAAGAAACCUUGAUUGAGUUCAUCUAAAUUAAAUUUCAAAAAUUUGGAAUUACCAUUAUCUACUCCGCCUAACAAUCUCUCUUUUUUCUUAUUUUGAAUGCGUCGACAAAUACCGAAUAAAACUCCCAAUCCCACUAGAGCAAUUACCAAUGGAACAACGAUAGCAACAACUUUUACUAGGGUGUUUGAAUCAUUAUCACUCGGCGGUUGAUUGCUAACAGUUGGUUUGAAAUCUGAAAAGUUAACAAUAUAUUAGAUUAAUUAACAAUAUAUAUGCAUAUCAAUAAAAGAAAUAAAGAUUUAAAAAGUCUGAGGAUUCCAGCAUACUUGGUUAAUUAACAAUAUAUAUGCAUAUCAAUAAAAGAAAUGAAGAUUUAAAAAGUCUGAGGAUUCCAGCAUACUUGGUUAAUUAACAAUAUAUAUGCACAUCAAUAAAAGAAAUGAAGAUUUAAAAAAUCUGAGGAUUCCAGCAUACUUGGUUUGACACUAAUAGCCGAUAUUAACGGUCCGUAAUUUCGAUGAGCAGGAAGACAACAAGUACCCUUUCCCUCCCAGAAGAAAUGAAUUUGAAGAAUGUUAUCAGUUACAAUGGCAUUCAAGGUCUUGUCAACUGCUUUGAAAGGAAUUCCACCUGCAUCUUUUUUUAUAUUGAAAUCUUUAAACGUGAGUUCCUCCUGCACAGUUGAUUAUUUAUAAUUACUGAAUUCCAGCAUAUUAGUGGAUACAUUAUUCGCUUAAUUAGCUUUAGUCUGUUAGAAGUAGUGGAUCUGUAAAGUUUUAUUACUUUCUAUUUUGUAUUAUGCAUAUUAAUAGCAAUGAGUUCAGUGGCAUAAGCCACGGCUCUAUACUCAAAACUUCUUGAUUUCCUUAUUCUGCUAUACACCAAUACAGUACAAAUGAAAUUAAUUAUUUAAAGAAUUGCUUACCUGGAUGUAAAUAUCAAAAAUUCGCCUUGCGGUUUUCUUGAAAAUAGAGUUGUCGUCAGGAAAAACAAGUUCUGCAAACUUCAAAUUAACCGUGUAGUUACCAUUUUCAAGUCCAAGACCAAAGUAUCUCAAUGACGAUGAUGACAGUCUACUUCUCUGAUAUAAAAUUGGAUCUAGAGUGUCUGUGAUGUUAUUCUCAGUCUUUUCUAUGUACAUGGCAUUCACAGAAUCAACAAAUUUUCCGGUAUUACUGACUGCCCAUCUUUUAGUGUCGCUCACAUAAAAUGAUGCAGUAGAGAUGGCAUCUUGAUUGUCGGCUUCAUACUCUGUCCCAUCUUUUGAGACGUAUUUCUCACCUCCACAAUUUAUUGCAAAGGAGUAAUCUGAAAAAGACAUUAUAAAACAUAGUGAUUGUAAUUUGUACAUGGUAAUGCGAUAAUUGAAACAAAGUACAAAAUCGGCUUACAUCUUGGACUGUUGCGAAAGCAAGGAUAAUUUUUCUGUAAGCAUUCUAAUCCACUUGGGAGAACACUGGAAAUUGAAGAUUCAGAAAUGUUUGGUUUGUCAUUUAAAGUUUGAAAUAAAAUUAAUAUAAUAAUGUUGUUGUGAAUCUGUAAUUAUGAAAAUACGUUUGUGAUUCUUUGGCAGUGAAGUCGUUGCCUACCAAGUUCCUGCGGAGGAAGGAGGUAAAACUUUUAUACAAAUUUGAAAAAGAAAAAAAGAGAAUUUCUUUCAGUAAGGAAUGUUCAUUUACAAUUUUAAAUUUCUUUGAUCCUUCCAAUCAGGAAUGCUUCCUGAUAAUUCAUUAUACGACAAAUCACUGCAAGUAGAACAGUAGAAAUUUGGUAAUUAUAAAAUGAAAACAAAAUCAAAAUCUUAAAAUUAAUUUCUUAAAAAAGAGUACAUGUUCACGAGGCUAUUGCUUUUCCCAUUUGGUAUUUCACCAACUAUGUUAUUGUUACCAAGAUAUCUGUAUAUGAAUUUAGAAGCCGUAAAGUAAAAAUAAAUUUAUAUUCGGUCAGUUUUAAAAUCAUACACAAAAUAAAUAUCUAUGGAAGUGAAAUUUUCUCACAUAAAUUCAAGUUCAGGAAUAUUGAAAAUAGAUGACGGCAACGUUCCUGAUAUAUUAUUGAAACUCAAAUCCCUAAGAAAUUCCAAAGACAGAUAUGAAUGAUUUUUUUACUGAAAUGAUCGAUGAAAAAGAAAAAAAUAUAAGAAACUUACAAAAAUUUCAAAUUAGCAAACUCAUUAAUGUUGGAUGGAAUGCUUCCAGAUAUCCUGGAGUUUCUUAGAAUCCUAUUGCCAUUCAAUGAUUCAAACAAUAUUAUGUUUCAAGGAAUUAAAAAACAGAAUAAAAGCAGAUAGAGAAAUGUUGAGAUCAUUCUUACAAUGUACCGAGAGAUUUCAUAUUCCUCAUAAAAUCCAAAGACGAGGAUUCAUUUAACAGAUCACCCAAUCUCCUGCAAUAUUGAUUGAUUAUUCCAAUUAUGAAUUGCAAUAUACCUCUAGAGAUUCUAAGACAUUUUAAUAUUUUCGUAACAAGUAAACUCACAGUUCCCUUAAAUUGAUCAGAUUUACUAAAUUUAAUGGAAUCGGGCCUUGGAAAUUAUUGCCUUGAAACCGCCUGUAAAUUUUUUUUACCAUAAAUGUAAUUCAGAUUUUUUUGGGGGGGGGAUUUACCAAGAUUGCUAAAUUUCAAUCUUACAAAGCUGUGAGUCCUGUUAAAUUAUUCCCAAUAAACUCUGGAAUUUUUCCACCAAUAUUAUUGUCGUUUGCGAAUCUUGUGAGGAUACAAAAAAAGUAAACUGAAUUAAUUUCUUAAACAAAGGAUAAAAUUACUAUUAAACUUACAAUGUAUUCAAGCUAAGCUUCGCUAAUUCUUCGGGAAGCGGUCCGCUGACUCCAGUGGAACUAAAAUAACUGUACAUGUCAAAGAAAUAUGUAAGAUGAAUACCAAUUUAUGUGUAUUUGAAAAAAAAAAUCAGUAAAACACUUACAUUUCUUUUAAGCUAGUCAUGUUUCCGAUCUCUGGUGGAAGCGAGCCACUGAAGUUGUUCAUCCCCAUACCCCUAAAAAUACAUGAAAAGGUUAAUUAAACACAUGAUCAAAUAAUAUUAUUCCAUAGUAAAUGGCUUAGAUGAACAGGUUGACAGUUAUCUUACAGAGAAACAAGAUUGGUAAGAUUUCCAAGUUCUUUGGGCAGAGAGCCUGAUAGUGCAUUUUUAUUAAUGUUUCUUCAAUAACAUGAGAAACCCAAAAUUAAACAGCAAUAAUAGAUAUUAAUCAUAAUAUAUAAAAUUGAAUCCAUUAUUUGACGUAAAUCUUACAUAUGACUCAAAGAUGUAAACCUCCCUAUAAAUGGCGGUAGCGGACCUGUUAAAUAAUUGUCACCAAGUUCCCUGCAAGAUGAAUCAGUUGAUGAAGAUAUUAAGAUUUGAUUUGAAUAGAAGAAAAAGAAUAGAACAACACACAAGUAAGCAAGUCUGGUUAGAUUCUGAAGCUCAUCUGGAAGGGUUCCUGUGACAUUUAGCUGGCUUACAGUCCUGUUUAGAACACAAAUGGAUGAGUAGAAGAAGAAAACGUAUGUAAUGUUGGAUGAAAAAAGAAAUAAUGGGAAUAAUGGGAAUUACAAUUUGGUUAUAUGGCAUAUAUUUUCAAAACAUUGACAGACAACAGAAGGGUUGAAACCAUGAUCUACUGGAUUAAUCUUGACAUCUUCAGCAGAAUCCACUGCAGCUCCGGUACACGGGUUACCAUCAGUUAUGUUCCAUCUUAGGCUCCGGGACAUAACAGACGAGAUCCCCCAUUUUCUGAAUAUGGUAUUCAACGCUUCCACUGAAUUUUUAGAAAGAAAAAAAAAAUCAAGACCGAAAGAAACCCAUCAGAGACCCAGAUUUGCAAGAAGAUGCGUACCCUCAUAUGGAUCUGUGGGAGUAACGGUACUGUUUUGGGCACUUCCAGUUCCACCGAAAAAGAAGAAAAAGAGAGUUGAAAAGCAAAGGAGUGAUAAGAAGCGAACCACCAUGGGAAAAACAGUGUUCUUCUUGACGAGCAAAGGCAUCUUCCUUUCUGGGAAUCCUAUUGUUUAUAUUUUUAUAUACGAGUUUCUAAUCUAAGCCAAUACGCCACCAUUGUUUCCAACUCUCCAUGUAAAGAAGAAAACACACUUUAAUUUAUUCUUCAAUCCAUAAAAGUCAAAUCUACAUGCGCUAAAAUACAAAGUAUAAUUUACAGUUCUACACGAUACCAAUUACCAAAGUUAUGAUUUUUACAUCAUAUGACAAAAAUCUAGAGCAGUUGUAUAAUUUGAUACUCAAGUUAGUUAAGAUACAAAAAUGUCAUUUAUCAUUCUUAAUCUUCAAAACUGUUAGCACGAUAGCAUCUGUGUGGUUUAGAAACGAUGAGAAAGUAAAUAAAACCAAAAAGUUGAAAACAAAUUUUGGACAUUAAUGAUAAAAAUUAUCAUAAUCAAAGAUUUCUAAAUCGAAUCAAAGGUACAUAACCAAAGUAUCACCUUCAAACCCACAUUUUUUGACAUUGAUGAAUAAGCUAAAUCUUCACGAAUCAUUUGUGGAUUAGAAAACAACUGUUCUGUUCGCUCCUUCGACGAUUCUUACGUGAGAGGACGCGGAUCGCAGACCGGUUCAUCCUCCACCGACUACAGACUUCAAUCUCACAUUGUGAGGACCUCGCGAGUCGCGACAGACGGAAUUGUAAAUAUACAUGCAUAAGACCUAAACGUAAUUUAUUUAAAUUAAUAUCUCAUAAGAUAUCUUAUUUUUUAUGACACUCUAUUGUACUUAUAACUUGUAAAAGUCAAAAUCAAUAUGAGAUAGUAGACGAAAACGAUCCAAUAUGAUGCAAGUGGGCUUUAAAAUGACCUAAUUCAGUUGGGUCGUACUUUUAUACAGUUGGGCCUUAAAAUAUCAUUAAUAUAUUGGGCUUAAUUAGAUAUGCUUAAUGGGUUUGGCAUUUUGGAGUAAAUAAAUGGAUGUGAUGUGAUUAUAUAUGUGAAUGUUAUUAUUGAUUUAGAAGAAAGUCCAAGCAGACAAUUCUAUAAUGAGACAAAAAAGAGUCCGUGUGAUCUUAGUCUCACAUUUUGAAAAAAAUUAUCAAAUCCUCUCACAACCGUCUAUUCUGUUUUUUUUUAGCUUCAGGCUCUUCCAUUUAAAGAUGAACGGUUAGGAUUGAACAUACUUUUUUAGGCUUACAAAGAAGGAUUUCCCUGAAAAUUACUCUAUUGAUUUAUUGUCAAUUUAUCAUGUCAUUUAUUUUUUGGAAUAUAUGUUUUUAGUUGUCAAUCUAAAUAUCUAAUCACACUUUUUCUUAUUGAUUUGAGAAAUCUAAUCACACUUUCAUUAUCAUUUAUCACAUACUAAUCUAAUCAAAAUAUGCCAAAAUUAUUGUUAAAGCAUGCAUGAUUAAUUAAGAAAAUCAUGAAAAUUAAUGAUGGAUGAAACAUUCAUGCAGACAUGAGCCAACACAUCUUCUAAUUAAAGUCAAAUUAAAUGAUAUUAAAUUGAUUAGUAUAUAUAUGUAUGGUCACUACUCACUCUUCAUUUAUCUUUUUUUUUUUUGCAAAUCACUAUCAAAAGGAACAUGAAUCUUGAUUUUGGAGUUCAAUUGAGAUUUUAUUGUUGGUGUAAAUAAUAUUCCACCCUCAAAUGGAUAAAUGGCAUGAAAAUUAACUCGAUGUGUAUUGUAGAACUUCCACAUAAGAAGAGAGCUAUAAUACUGCUAUAGGAUGCAAAUGAGUGUACAAAACAAAAUUCAACGCAGAUAGCUCCUUUGAUAAACACAUAGUCAUGUUUGUUAUUAAGGGAUACACAGAUAGAAAGAAUUGACUACAUGUACAGAUACCUUUGUUUCUGUGUCAAGGAUGACAACCUUAAGGACGCUAAUUAUAGCACUGGCCGGUCAUCAUUUAUGAUUGACAUUUACAUCAGAUAGAUGUACAAAAUGAAGAAGUCUACAUGAAACUUCCGCGGGAGUCACAGAACAUUAUGAUUAGAAAUCAGGUUAGCAACAACCCAGUCUGCAAACUAAACAAAUCACUUUAUGUAUUAAAACAUGCCUUCGAGAUGUGGUUCAAUUCAACAAACUAAAUGAAACUGUAAUUAAAACACACAUGCAAUAUUCGAAUCUUGAUUAACCAAUAACCAAUCUUCCGUACUUUCUUUUUCGAUCUUGAACUAAGAGUUUGCUUUUUAAACUCUUGUUGGUGCCACGGACCAUGGACCACACGCCACGACCCGGGUGACGGGCCAUGGACCGCGGACCAGGCGGGACCAAAGGCCUCUAGGCCGAGAUAACCCCAUGGAGUAAAUAAGGAUCGACCACAGUAUAAAUACCAUCCCUAGGCCUCUAGGGAGGGGGGGUUGGAAAUUAGAAAGAAAAAAGUGAUAACACUUGGUUAUAGUGUCAAAUAAAGCUCGUUUAAGCUCGGGCUCGUGAGUCCAACGAACCGAGCCCGAGCAUGAAGCUCAAGCUCUUUAAACUCGGUGAGCUCAGUAAGAAGUAUAAAAAAAUAAAAAAAUAUUAUAUUUAGAGAGAAUAGCGGUGUAGCACAAAUGGUAAAACGUUUGUUAAGCAACGAGCCGAGCCCGAGCCUGAAAAGUCUGCCGAGCUCGAGCCCAGAUGAUACCUUAACGAGCCGAGCCCGAUUCCAGCUCUAUAAACAAAAACUCGACUCGGCUCGUUUGACACCUUACAUUUGGUAGUGAGGAGGAGGUGUGUUUGAGUGUGUGAGCAUUAAGCACACACAACAUCAACUCUAAAGUUAUUUUUGGAGAUUUUGAUGAAGAUGGAUGAUUAAGUAAGUAAAUAUCCGUGAAUAAUGAUGAAGUAUGGAAUUAGGGAAAUUAAUUGAAUCUUUUGUCCUUUUGUCCUUCCACCGAAUCUGGUGGUCCCUUUGUGAAGAAAUCUUUGGUUUCUCAACUCAACACUUGUGUUUGGUAGGACCCACUCUUUUUAAAGUCUUCUAUCCCUAUCCUUAUUCGACAGCUCAGCACAGAAACUGAGUGCAGAAAAAAAUAUAUAAAUAAUUUGAAGACAAUUAUUAGUGUUUGCGCACAUGUAUGAGUGAUGAGUCCCACUCUUGGCUACGUGGCGCAACUACAACCGUGAGAUAUAUUAAUGUUUGUAACUCAAUUUAUAUUUCAAACUUUGACCCAAAUCAAUUACUCAAAUUGGAUCGACUUUGGUUAGAAUAUGGGUUAAGUUACUAUUGUUAUCUUUGGGUCACAAUUAGUGGGUCGAAGGUAUCAUCACUUAAUGAGUCGAACGAUUAAAUCAUCGCCAGAUUCAUUGGAGACCUGCGAACAAACAUACAAGAUCAUGUUGCGGUUAUUCCGACAUUCUCAUUGGCAGAUUCGAUGAAUAGGACGGAACAAAUUGAGCGACUACUAACUACUCAUUCCAACAAGGAUUAUGCAUCUUCAACACCCAAAGACGAGGAGGGAAAGGGGUUUUGGGUGAUAGACCAAACUCGCAUCGAUCCGAUCCAUACGCACCCAGACCCCUAGACCCAUCUGCUACAGGUGUUGCGAACCCAACCAUCGUUCUAAUGAAUGCCCACAAAGACAAACACACAUGAUAGAAGGAUCAGGUGAAGAUAUACCAUAUUGAUGAUGUGUGGACUCGUAUCAGGGAGCUCACACAUACAACUACUCUCUAGUAUUCAUUCUAUUGAUUAUCAACCCCCUCCCCUGUUGGACUUGUCUAUAUAUGGGCCUCCGCCGGUCCAGGUCUGUUGCUCGGGUAAGAGAGGCUUUUGACCUGUUUGGUCCGAGGUCCGCUUGGACAGACCUCAGUACUAACACAUAUGUAACAGAUGAUUUUGAACCAGACAAUGAAGUCGUUUCUCUUGACAUUGGGGAUCAUUUAGUAGAAGUUUCCCGAGAACCCAAAUCGUAGGACUUGGACUCGGUCCAGAGCCGAACCAAGUCAGGCAGCUAGUCUAGACUCGACCCAUUUACACCUCUAAUUACUAUGGUAUAAUUAAGUUUUGCUUGAUCGAGACAUGAGUAGAUAUAUGUCGAUACUCCCAUGAAAAUAAAACAUUUAGCAUUUUCAAAGUCGAGACCCCAUGAUUUAGCAUGUAUUUGACUGAUAGCCAUGGUAUCAUUUAUUGAUAAGUCACUAUUCAAUACUCAAUAGUGAUGGACUCAUGGUAUCAGCAUUAACAAACUACACUCCAUAUAUCAUGGUUGGCGCUUUUGACUUUUCUAUAAUCUUUGUUUCCAUGCGACGUCGGUGAUUUUGGAUUUUCAAUAGAUAAAGUUUGAACUAGUCUCAUUAUUAAUUUAAAAAAAAAACCAGGUGAGUUAUUUCUAUCGUGAACCCAAGAAUGUCUAGAUCAUCAUAACUGUCUAUAAUUUUAUCUUCAAAAUUCGUAUCUUGUCUAUUAAUUUUUAAUCCAGUAACUAAAAUAAUUUAUUGCACAAGAUAUUAACACAUAUACGACGAAAAAAAUAUAUAACAAAAGACACAAAUUCAUGUGUGACAAAAUAUCGAUCUAACAAUUAAGAUUUUUUGACACAUUGAAAUUCGACGUACUCAUUAUUAAUAAUCAUAGACACAAGUUUUUUAAUUAAUCAUUCCUCUUUUGGAAGUUAGAAGAGUCAAUUGCUACACGUAUGUAUGAAUACAUGUGUUGUCGGCGGAGGACGAUCACUAUCGUAGGGCUGAAAAUAACUUGGGUAUGUAAUUAAGUAAUUUUCAAACUUGACAUGAUAAUAUUAAUAAUUUUUUAAUUACCUGUUGAAAACGAUUUGGUCGGAUCAGAAAAUUAAAACAUAUUUUAUUUGUGGUUAUAACUUAUUAGUUAUUACAUAUUCGUCCAAAUUAAAUAAAACCUCAUCAAUCAUCAUUUUAGAAUUUCUGCUGCUGUAAGCAUCAAAUCUCCAAACUUUCAGUCUAUUUCUUAAAAUGAAAGGGGAAAAAAAGAUUUUAUAAUCGAGCGAUUAGGCAGGUUUGAUUUUAUAUGUAGGCCAGGUUUGGUGCGCCGAACUAACUAUGGUCUUUGGCCGGUCUUAUCCGACCCAUUUCUAGCUUUUAUUUGUUGUGUUAGAAUGGUUAGAUGAUUUUUUUUUUUUUUUGAAAUUAUGAUUAUUACGGGUCACAAAGUUGUAGCCUAUCCUCUGUUUGGUCGUAAUUGAUCUCCAUGCAUGUCAACAAAUUCAAAAGCCCAAAUCCCGUCCGCUUCCUCGUCAACCGGUCGAUGCACAUCGAAUGUAUCUCUUACAUUCUUGAUCGAGUGAGAUGGCACAUGUGUAGUUGAUGCACAUAUAUAGGAAACUGUAGUUCGCACCGAAGUUUGCGCAUCUGCUCGUCUCCUCCCGUUGGUUGAGAAUUGCUCGCUAGAGGGAGGGUGAUGAGGAACGGAAUAUCCUAUCAGCGCUCGCGGUGGUGCGAGCGGCUACUUUCUCGUGUCGAAGGUUCUGAGAUCCACGACACGCGUUCUAUGUCAAGUCUUUCAAGAGGAAAUCGACGAUUUCUCCGUGAUUCACGUUUUAGAAAUAAUGGAAUUGAUGCCUUUGAAUUGAGCCUGAGGUCCCCUUUUAUAGGAUCUUUGGGGGCGUAAUCUGCAGCGGAGAUCGCGCCCGACCAUAUAUAAUGGCAGUCGUUACGACCAUUGUGGUUCAGACUGGACGGGAGUAACGCUUCGAAAUCGACGAUUUGGGGUUAAAUCGGGGCGAGUUGGGGGUGAAAUCGACGAGUUCAAAGGGGAAGAUCGACAGUCUGCCAGACUCGAUUUGGCGAUCUUCUUCUCAACUCGUUGAUUUGCCGCCCCAAUCAACGAUUUGGAGAGUUGACUUGGGUCUCGACGAAGACUUUUAGUUCCACUUUCGUGGAAGACUUCCGGGGGUCCAACAUAAAGCGAACAAAACCCUAAUCUCUGUUGACAGGAGUGACUGGUGUACAAUCAUGUGUCAGCAGAGAGUCGUUAUACUUCCGAUCGAUUUGUGUAAGAGACCUCUGUUGAAUAUACUUGGAUUUCAUCCAUGUGGCUCAAAUGCCCUAUCCGUUCCAUAGCCUAGAGGUGCAGUCGAUCGUGGUCGCGAUCUGAGUCAUCUUGAAAUCAUCUAAACCCAAGCAGACCUCUAAAGCUUUUUUGUUCCUCUCGAUUAGUAGCUUCCUUAACUCUGAUUGUCUUGCUCUUCAUAUGGGGUGUCCUUCAAUGAAGUCAACUAUCAGGUAUCUCUGGGAUGAAUUUAUACAGUUAACCAAUUUCUUCUGAGGGCUCGAUGUGCUUCCCACUGUCGGUAAAACCGAUCCAAUCGACAGUUAAAGAGGCUCUGUGAGGGCUAUUGAUCUUCUGCUGGGUUUCCUGAGAUAGCUCAUCACAACUGUGCUGAAAGAGGACAAUCAGGCCGGGAUGUUAUGCUCAAUCAACCCUGCAUUUAGGGGAAAGGUUAAUAUUGGGCACAAUGAGACAUUGGGAAUCCAUUAUGCCGACGGUAGUUGUACGAUACUAUUGACAGCAUGAACCAGAGUCUAGGUGUGCCUGGUGACCGGAACGUACUCCUGCAUUGUCGUUCAACCCUACUUCUAGCUCGUACGACAACGCCUUCUCCUUGUCUCCUUGUCGGCGUUUCCCUGACGGCGUCUUGGUCAGGGAUAUCAUGUUAUUUCUUCCCUUCCAGAUGUGCUUUUAUAUAGGUUUCUAGUGAAGUGGAAGUCCUUGAAAAUAAUCACGCUCACCAACAAGGUGGGUUCGUCAGGGUCUUGUGCUAGCUAGUCUGGCCGAUAUGGGAAGACCGAAUGGCCUCGUCCACCGAAAUACCCCUGAUUAAGUGCUUGUUGUGGGAUCAAGUCCAACACACAUGUUCAUCCAUGUCGACGUCGGAUUAUAAGUUUAUAACUAUGUUGUGAUCGCAUCAUUCCCCAAGAAACCAAGAAGGAAUGAAUUUGCCGCGACUCUAUUUAAUUCAAAAGGAUAGAGUUGGCUUCCAUGAUUUUUGACUUAUUGAGUUAGAUGAUAGAUGUGGGUGGAAGUUGGUUGGAUGUUUAAUUCCGUAAUUUUCCAUUCGGAAGAUCGAAAACCCUAAAAGGAAGAAACCCAAUUAUUGCAUCUAUGUAGAUAAUUAAAAAAAAACAUGACUGCUUAGAUGAUAGAAAGUGACAUAUAUCUACGAACUUCUUUCCAACCCUAACCCUAAAAAAACAUGUUACUUCUUUCCAAACCCUAGAUUUUGGUAAAUGAACAUUUGCGUUCAAUCUUAAAGUUUACCUACAUUAUUUUCAUUUCAUAUUUUUUACUCAAACAACAUGAAUAGGGGCUACUGUGUUUUAUUUUUUAUUUUAUUUUAGGUACGAUUUGCUGGUUGUUGGUGCAAGCGAAGCUGGUAUUUAGGCUAUCAGCCAAGUCAAGCCAGGAAAAGAGAGAUCGAUGGCUACGUAUUACCAUGGAGGGGCAGAGAUCCAGUCUGAUGAGCUACAAACACUCUGUUUGAUGAAUCCGGGCUGCGUUGGCUACCCACCACCGGACGAUGCUGGUGUUGGGGACUCUCCGACGACGAGUAAUAUGAUGUUCUUCAAUUCCGGGGCGCUAGGACACCACCAACAUCUGAUGGGAAUACCACUACAUCAGAACCAGUCGGUGGUGUCUGUUCAGGAUAUGGCGUCGUAUAACUUGUGGAAUCCUUCUCCGAUGACUAAUAAUUCCGUUGGUCUUACUUCUCAUUUGGGUAUCCGUCAGAAAGGUCUGUCGCUCAGCUUGUUGCCGGAGCAGAAACAGAUUAACUAUGGGAUCAAUCAGCAGCACCACCUGAGAUUCUCCGGAUCGGAAUCGGAAGUAGAGCCGGCUAAUGGAAUUUCGGGGAUGCAAAGAGUUCUGUUGGGGUCUAAGUACUUGAAGGCGGCGCAGCAGUUGUUGGAUGAUGUUGUUAGUGUCGGAAAAGGGGUUGUUAAGAAAGAAUCGCAGAACACCGCCGCUAAAUCAACAAAAGAGAUGUUAGAAUGCGAAGAAAGUAACGCCGGAGAGACCAGCGGGAAACGCGCCGCUGUUGAACUGUCCAUGACGGAAAGACAGGAGCUUCAGACGAAGAAAGCCAAGCUCAUCAACAUGUUCGAUGAGGUGAUUGAUUGAUUGAUUGAUUUUCGUUUACGAUUUCUUCAUCUUUUAAUUUCAGGCAGAAAAGAGGUACCGGCAAUACUACAAUCAGAUGCAAGUAGUGAUCUCCUCUUUCGAAGUGAUCGCCGGAGUAGGAACGGCGAAGACCUACACAGCUCUUGCGUUAAAGACCAUAUCAAAACAGUUCCGAUGCCUGCGAGAUGCGUUAUCCGGACAAAUCCGUGCAACGAGCAAGAACUUGGGAGAAGAGGACUGUCAAAUCGGCUCGAAAUCCGGCGAAGGGUUGACACGACUCCGAUUCGUCGAUCAUCACUUGAGACAGCAAAGAGCGUUGCAGCAAUUGGGUACCAUGCAGCAUAACGCAUGGAGACCUCAACGUGGAUUACCAGAGCGAUCCGUCUCCGUUCUCCGAGCAUGGCUCUUCGAACACUUCCUCCAUCCGUCAGUAAUCUCCGAUUGAUCAAUAUUCAAUAGUUAGUUAGUUAGUAAGAUAGUUUCAUCCAUUAAUGCAAAUUUUUGAUAUUGGGUGUUUUUCUUCUGAUCCAUAGAUAUCCCAAGGAUUCCGACAAGCACAUUCUCGCCAAGCAAACAGGGCUCACCAGAAACCAGGUAAAACACUUCCGGCAAUCGGAAGAAUUGAAGAAGAUGGGGGGAAAAACUUUUCUUUUUUACAUAAUGAAGCUAAAAAUCUACACAGGUAUCGAAUUGGUUCAUAAACGCGCGAGUUCGUCUAUGGAAACCAAUGGUGGAGGAGAUGUACUUGGAAGAGACCAAGGCUAAAGAAGCCGACAGAAAGUGCGGCGGAGAAGCGGAAGCAGACGUAAUUCCGACGAGCACUGUGGUUUACGCCGAGGAGGAAGAUGGAGGGGAAGAAAACAAGGAGGAAAAGAUUCACAAGAAACCUCGUAUUCGAGAUUCGUCGUCUUUAUUAAUAGAUCCGAUGUCGACGCUGGAGAUGGAGCUGAAGCCAUUAGACACCACGACGACAAGCACCAACAGCAACAGCCACGACGCCCUUUUCAUGCGGUUCGGUGAGAGUGGCGGUCCGUAUUCGAUCGGAGAUUUCGCAAGGUUCGGAAACGACGGACAUAGCCAAUUCACACCAGCCCAACAACCACAUCAUCAUCAUCAGCAGCAGCAGCAACACUUCUCCGGGAAUGGAGUAACUUUAACCCUGGGACUCCAACAUUGCGAUGGACUGUCGCUUUCAGGACCACCUCCGGCAACGUACCUGUCUUCCACCAAUGACAGCAACCACAGUAACAUUCCUAUGGGAAGACGGCUGCAGGGUUUGGGCAACGUCACGCACGAUGCACGUGAGUACAACAACAGUGAGUACGAAACUCUUUUAAGUAAUCAACUACUUGGUCAGUAAAAACAGACAAACAACAGAGAAGACAAGUAAUCAUCAUCAAUCAUUAUAUUGUAUAUAAUAAGGUUGUAGAAUGUAGACUUUUGGUGUUUUGGAAGUUGUAAGUUGGAAGUUGGAAGUCCUACAUAUAUUUAUACAUGUAUAUUAAUCAUUUGACACCAUAAUCUAUCUACUUACAUAGAUAAUUAAGAAUAUCAUAUGGUUUAGAUAAUACUUUUUUUUAACACUGUCAGGUAAAUUGGUUACAUUCAAGAAAAAACAAGAAUUAGUUACUUAUGUUGUUAACCCUCGAUCUACAAAAGAUUGUUCAAAGAUAUACAUCAGUUUUUAAAUACUUGGUAUUUAGCUACAUGGAAACUACAUACAUAUGCAUUGUUAAUUUACAAAUUUUAGGGGUUUAAUUUGAGAUUGAUCUUUAUUUUUUUUCAUAUUUAUUUGAUGAUAUAUUAGAAAACCCUCAACUGGAAUUUGGUAUUUGUCGGUUCGGUCCACGGAUGAGUCUGGGAACCGCCCGUUCCCAGACUCAGCCGCACGAAUGGAUUGGACCCGGGAAAGCCCAAGAAGUUUGUGGACCUCCUGGGCUAACACUAUAAAUACUUCCCCUGAUCCAACAGGGGAGAGGGUUGACGGUUUAGAGGAAUGUCUUCUAAGGAGUUGUGUGUGUCAGCAUUCACCUGUGUGCUCACACACCAUCGGUAUAAUUAAUGGAGUCGUGCGACUUUAUAUAUUUCACCUGAUGGCAUCCCGAUGUUAACUUCAGAAACAGUUCGACCAUGACGAUCAGAAGUGCCUUGGAUUCAAGAUGAAGGAUUUUGGGUGUCCAAGGCUAUAGCUGCGGAAAUAAAUCCUUGAUAUUGAGGCUCAGUCCAAUAUGAAUAUUGUUUGAUUAUUCAAUCGAGUGCUCAAUGCGGCUGAAAAGGUUGAAUCUGGCUGAGUCGGCACGACGGCAGAAUUUUGGAUGUUUAGGGUUGAAACCUGUGUACUCAACGAUACGUUGGAUGUUUAGGGUUGGAAUGUUGUGGAAAUUUAGAGAAUUUUGGUUCUGAAAUUGAUAAAGAUUUGUUCUAAUAAUCAUUAAAGAAUUUUGGAUUUGAGGGAAAAUGUGAAGAGUAAUACUCUAUGGAAUUAGCAUAUUAGUUAAUAAUUAAAUAUGACGCACUUCAGGUGUGUCAAAAACAUACAACGUAAUACGGGUAACGAAUACAACUUGAAGAUAAUGUAACAUACGACGUACAACUUGUAGUAUAUAAUUUAAUUGUUGAUGAAUAAUGCAACAAUAUAAGACAAUAUAUUUAUAAUUGUUGAUGAAUAAUUGUUGACGAAUUAGAAUCUAAUAACCGAAAAAAUUUCGAAGCCAAUAUAAGACUUAAAUUAAAUUUAUAAGACAAUAUAUUUUCUUUUACAACUCAUCAAAAAAACCGUGUUUUUUUUUUACCCAAAUUUUGGGGGAUUGGAAUUAGGGAUCUGGAACUCCUUUUUUGAAAAAUCUGAGUGCUCUUUCAUGGGGCUUUUCUCAAACAGGUUUUGAUUCUCCUUCUUUAUCUUUGAUUCUGUUAGAUCGAUCGCAUUUUGUAUUUUAAUCUUCCUUUUUUGGAAAUUUCUAACGAAUUGCAGGAUCCCAAAAGAGAGCUUGAAACCGGGUGAUCACAUCUACUCAUGGAGGGUUUACGUAUACGCCCAUCACGGUUCUUCUACUUCCCCUCUGAAUUUCAUUUCUAAUUUAUUGCAUCGAUGCCCUCAUGCCCCCCCUUGCUUGAUUUCACAAUGAUAUUGGUGAUUUCAGAUCUAUAUUUGAUCCAAAUUUCACAUCAUCAGUAAUCAUCAUUCAAGUAUUAUUUUUAGAUAAUUAAACCGCAAAGACAUCCAUUGCUGCCAUCAAUCGACUUAUUCUAAUCAAAUGUAAAAUUGGAAACCAUAAAAAAAAACUUGUUGAAAAGGCAAAUAAUUGGUUUCUUCUAUCAUAAGACACCUUGUAUAUCACUCUUAGCAAUAGCAUAAUUAGACUGAUCAUGUAAUUAAUUUGUUACAAAUAGUGCUACUGUCCUAAUGAUGCACUGAUAAGGUGGUCUAUGAAAAAACAAACAUUUGCCUAUUUUUUUGCCAUUUUUGUCUGUAACAGGGAUAUAUGUGGGUGACAAUACGGUCAUUCAUUUUACUCGAGGACAGGGACAAGAAGUCGGUACAGGAACUGUUCUUGAUCACCUAAUCAGAGUAAGCAUGAAGAAUUCUCGAGAAUUAUGUCCAGAUUGCUCAACCAAAUUACCAGAAUCCCAUGGAGUGGUCUCGUCCUGUCUGAAUUGUUUUCUAGGUGGUGGCAUUCUAUAUCGAUUUGAAUACGAUGUCAGCCCAGCCCUCUUCAUUGCCAAAGUACGAGGUGGAACAUGCACAUUGGCAAAAUCCGAUGAUGACGACACGGUUGUCCACCGAGCCACCCAACUCCUGGGUCACGGCUUCAGGUGUUACAAUGUAUUCAAGAGCAACUGUGAGGAUUUUGCAAUCUACUGCAAAACUGGUCUUCUGGUAGUAGAACAGGGCUUGAUUGGACAAAGUGGCCAGGCGGUCUCGAUCAUCGGUGGGCCUGCAGCAACUGUGUUCUCAACCCCAAUCCGUUUGCUUACAACAAAUGUCUAUGGGAUGGCAACCAUCGCUGUUGGAAUUUACUGUGCUAGCAGGUACAUUGCUGAUAUAGGCAACCGGAUGGAUGUGGUUAAAGUUGAGGUUGAUGUUUUGGCAUCGAGUCUUGCCACGGGAAGGAUCGAGGUCGUUCAUGUGGACUAGGAAAAUCGACCUAUCAUUCCUCUGAACAGAUUUUUAACUUGCCCAUAUGCUGUAAAAUGCGACUUAAGUAUUUCAGUUUAUUUUCGAUAAAGAUUAAUCUUUCUUGUAAUUAACUAAGCUCACUUUGCUCUUUAAAAGAUGUUGAUUUGGACAUUCGAUCGUCAUUAAUAUGAUUAACAACUUCAUGGAACCAAAAUAAAACCAUACUAAUUCUGAUCAUGGGCAUCAGAGUGUGAUCUUUCAGAUCAUUCUGAUAAAGUGAUAACUCUAUGCAGUCAUUGACAACAUCAGUUUAGUAAAUGUCCGAAAGUCUAUAACACCUUACAUGUCUCAUUCUACCAGAGGUGAUCUUUUUUUUAGAGACAAGUGAAUCUCAGGAAAAGCUUGGGGAUGUUCAGGAAACGAUUCAAACCUGAUUAAUGGACUUACUAAGAUUGAUCUUAAAUAAGAGUGUCUUCAAGAUUAUUAUUAACAAUGCAAAUUAGAUUAAUACUUGAUAAUUUGAAUCGAUCAUUAUUUUUAAUAUAUUUUUAGGGAAGAGUUAAGACUUAAGAUGUAUCUAAUUAUGUUGAAUUCUUGAGAUAUUACAAACAAAUUCAUUACAAGUUAAAAAAAAAUUGAGAUUUACAAAAAUACAUGGCCUAUACAGGUUUCGAACCUGUGACCUUCGCGUUAUUAGCACGACGCUCUAACCAACUGAGCUAAUAGGCCGAAGAUGUUGAUAAUUUUAUAUUAUUUUUUAAAUUUCCAUGCCUUAGACCUGUUUUUCUAAAAUUCUCUUUUUGUCAAACCAAACUGAAUCGAAGGCGACGAUGCGGAGAAGAGGGAGGGGUUCACCGGAAACUUCAAACAUCUCUUCUCGGGCCGUUCAGAAAAAACCAUUCACUGUCUUAUUCUGUCGAAUAUUUGCCGCAAUGUUUGUGUUUGCUCUAAUUUCUAUUUCAUUCCUCUUUUCAAUCAUCUUCACUCCAACUGAAAAAUCCCAAACUCGCACACCAUGUGUUCUAUGGAUGGCUCCAUUCCUCUCCGGCGGUGGCUACAGUUCUGAAGCCUGGUCUUACAUAACAUCUCUCCACGAUGAGAAAAGCUUCCGAAUGAAGAUCGAACACCACGGUGACAUGCAGAAUUUCGAUUUCUGGAAUGGGUUAUCUUCGGAGACCAAGAAUCUAGCUUUCAACCUUCAUUCAACGGAGUGCAAGAUGAGCGAGACGAUCGUCAUCUGCCACAGCGAACCAGGUGCUUGGUGGCCUCCUCUCUUCGAGACAAAUCCAUGCCCACCCACUGGUUAUAAAGAUCCAGCACCACUCUACGUGAUUGGAAGGACCAUGUUCGAAACCGACAGACUUAACUCCGAACACGUUCGGCGUUGCAAUUGGAUGGAUUCCGUUUGGGUUCCGACUGACUUUCACAUCUCAACGUUCGUAAAGAGCGGUGUGGAUCCAUCUAAGCUUGUGAAGAUCAUCCAACCAGUCGACGUCGAGUUGUUCAAUCCCGAUAAACACAUGCCACUUCCACUCCCCUGCGAAAAUCCUGUAUUCGGUGACCCCUCACCGGAUUCCUGCAAAGGGAAGUUCGUGUUCCUCAGCAUCUUCAAAUGGGAGAAGAGGAAAGGAUGGGAUCUGUUACUCAAAGCUUAUCUCAGAGAGUUCUCCGACGAAGACAACGUAGUUCUGUAUCUACUCACCAAUCCGUAUCAUUCCGACAGAGACUUCACUGCCCAGAUCCAACAGUUGGUAGCCGGCGAUUCCAAAGAUUCGGAUCUAGGGAAUCUCGAGGAUAAUGUUCGUAGGUAUCCAGCAAUUGAAAUCAUUGACACUCAUAUCCCUGAAACCGACCUCCCCGGACUCUAUAAAUCAGCCGACGCGUUCGUUCUUCCGACGAGAGGAGAGGGGUGGGGUCGUCCGAUUGUCGAAGCGAUGUCUAUGUCUUUACCCGUGAUAGCGACCAACUGGUCUGGUCCCACUGAAUAUCUGACGGAGGAGAACGGAUAUCCAUUGCCGGUGGAGCGAAUGGUCGAGGUGGAGGAAGGAGCUUUCAAGGGUCAUAUGUGGGCGGAGCCGUCUGUGGAAGAUUUGAGAAUUCUGUUGAGGCGUGUUGUGAGUGAUCCUAUGGAGCGGAAGAGGAAGGGGAUGAAAGCCAGAGAGGACAUGAUGAGGAGAUUCUCACCGGAGGUUGUCGCCGACGUCAUCAUCAAUGAGAUCUCGAAGAUUUUAGAGAGCAAGAGAAAUUAAAGUCCUUGUUUGCAAUUAAAGUAUUUUCGAGGUUAGUUAACACUUCAAAGUUAAAUUUGUAUAUUUUUUAGGAUUUGCUUUUCAACCUUACUAAUGUAGUUUUUUUUUUUUUUUUUUUUUUGACAAUUUAUUGAUUUUAAACAAAAAAAAGAAGAUAAGAUUACAUGCAAACUGUCUUUAAACUCUAGACUUUGUACAGUGUUUAACUCUAGAGUCUACCUACUAUUCUUUACCAUUCAAUUUCCUUUCGCAUUCCUUUCAAAUUACUUGAACCUUAUUUUUAUGUCCCUCGUCUCACUCCAAAAUUUAUUCCAUGGAGUCAUGGUUAAUGAACUCUUCUUGCUGAAACUAAUCUCUGAUCCGUCUGUCAUUCUUUCCAACAUAUUUUUGGUGCCACUCCAAGCUCACUUACUUUUGGUCGCACUCCAAGCUCACUUAUUUUAGGUGGCUCUCCAAACUCACUCAUUUUUGGUGGCACUCCAAGCUCACUCAAUUUUUGAUGGCACUCCAAGCUCACUCAACUUUUGGUGGCACUCAAUGCUCACUCAAGCUCCACUGUGGUGGUCCUUCUCGUAUUUUUAGUGGCACUAAUAUCUUCCCUAAUUUUUGCAACCCAUCCCUUAUUUUUGAUAUCCCUCAUGUCUCGUCGUUUUCCUUUCUUAUUUGCGUAGUCCUUUGCGUUCCUGUUUUGUUAAAGAGAAUACAUACCUUUAUUGAAGUCAUAUGUUGUCCAACUCUUCCUCUCUUCUUGUGCCAAUUUUUUUGUAUUUUGAAAUUCUUGCACCAAGUGUAGUAUCAGAGAAUAAUCCUUCUGGCAAUUUCUCCUGUUAUUGUAUAUUUUUUCUCGUGCUUUCUUUUGUUUCGUUCCUUCUAUAUAGCCCAUGUUGUUCCUGAAAUUACUCCCCAGGUGAGUGCCCAACAUUUUGAGCCUUUUGUUCUUUUUUCUGCCCUCCUCAUGACCUGUUCCAGCGUUAUGUAUGUUUCUGAGCUGAUUUCUGAUAGUUGUGUUCUUAUUCUUCUCCAUAUAUCUGCAGCGUACCCGCAUCUGUAGAAUAGGUGACUUUGUGUUUCAAAGGGAUUCACGCAAAGCCAACAGUCUGUGUGAUCUAUUCCUUUUCAAUGAUCAACUUCCGAAUUCGUUGGAAACAAAAGAGACAUAAAUACACUACUAAUGUAGUUGUUGAAAACAAAAACAAAACACAUUUUAGAUAUCCUAAUACAUUCCAUUCAUAGUCAAAAAAUUACAGGAACGAAGCAAACCGACACAUGACUGUACACCCGUCAACAGGGAUUAGGGUUUCGUUCACGAGUUCGAAACUAAAGUCUUCGUCGAUGACCCGAUUCAACUCUCCAGAUCGUCGAUUUGGUCUGUCAAAUCAUCGAUUUGAGUGGCAAAUCCCCGAUUUGAGACCAAAAUCAUCAGGAUCUGACAAACUGCCGAUCUUGCCUCUUUGAACUCGUCGAUUCACCUCCAAAUCGUCGAUUCCGGACCGUUACUCGUGUCCAACUCGCGCCAUUAUGACCGGACGCGAUUGCCGCCGCGGAUUACGCCUCUAGAUGUCAUAUAAAAGGAGACCUCGGGUUCACUCCAAAGAUAUCAGUUCCAUCCAUUUUAAAGCAUAUUACAUGAAGCAAAUCGCCGUUUCUGAUUGUGCAAUCGUCGAUUCCUUCCGUAAGACUUGACGUAGAACGCACUUCAUGGAUCUGAAAGCUUUCGGCACGCCAAUAUAGCUGCUCGCACCACCGCGAGCGUUGGUAAGACAUUCCGUGA